rnacentral:rRNA from 1 species
GAUGAACGCUGGCGGCGUGCCUAAUACAUGCAAGUCGAGCGAACAGAUGAGGAGCUUGCUCCUCUGACGUUAGCGGCGGACGGGUGAGUAACACGUGGAUAACCUACCUAUAAGACUGGGAUAACUUCGGGAAACCGGAGCUAAUACCGGAUAAUAUAUUGAACCGCAUGGUUCAAUAGUGAAAGACGGUUUUGCUGUCACUUAUAGAUGGAUCCGCGCCGCAUUAGCUAGUUGGUAAGGUAACGGCUUACCAAGGCAACGAUGCGUAGCCGACCUGAGAUGGUGAUCGGCCACACUGGAACUGAGACACGGUCCAGACUCCUACGGGAGGCAGCAGUAGGGAAUCUUCCGCAAUGGGCGAAAGCCUGACGGAGCAACGCCGCGUGAGUGAUGAAGGUCUUCGGAUCGUAAAACUCUGUUAUUAGGGAAGAACAAAUGUGUAAGUAACUAUGCACGUCUUGACGGUACCUAAUCAGAAAGCCACGGCUAACUACGUG